rnacentral:ribozyme from 1 species
UUUUAUGUGUGUUAUUUGCUAGCUUUAUUCUUUUUUAUACAAUUUUUCUUUUCUACACAAUUUUGGAAGAUAUAUACAUAAAACACACGAAGAAA